AGAGAUGUGUGAUGACGCAUAUCAAUAAGCGGAGGAAAAGAAACUAACAAGGAUUCCCUUAGUAACGGCGAGUGAAGCGGGAAGAGCUCAAAUUUGAAAUCUUCAAGGUUCUACCUUGACGAAUUGUAGUUUAUAGAAGUGUUUUCUGUUAGUAGAGUGGCAAAAGUUCUUUGGAAUAGGACAUCAUAGAGGGUGAGAAUCCCGUAUUUGGUCAUUCUUUCUAGCUUUGUGAUACACUUUCAACGAGUCGGAUUGUUUGGGAAUGCAGUCCAAAAUGGGUGGUAAAUUUCAUCUAAAGCUAAAUAUUGGCGAGAGACCGAUAGCGAACAAGUACCGUGAGGGAAAGAUGAAAAGAACUUUGAAAAGAGAGUUAAACAGUACGUGAAAUUGUCAAAAGGGAAGCGUUUGACACCAGUGUUGUUUUUCCGAAAAUCAAUUACGAAUGUUUUAGUUUUUGAGAAGUUAUGACUUCAUCGGCUUGCUUCUCUCUUUAUGAAACUUUCUUAAUGCACUUUUCGGUUAACAAGUCAACAUCAAUUUCUUUUGUUGUAAAAGGGUAUGAGGAAGGUGGCUUUCUUUUCGGAGAAAGUGUUUAUAGCCUUGUACCUCUGCAAUCGGAGAGAUUGAGGUCUGCAGCGUGGAUCCUUCGGGGUUAGAUACAUUUGUGCUAAGUUAUAGCUUUUCAUAGACAACUUGUUGACUAUGUUUAGUCUUGUAGCUUACUCGCUUAUGCUAUUUUACCUACGCUUAGGAUGUUGAUCUGUAGUGCGUGCGC
rnacentral:rRNA from 1 species